rnacentral:rRNA from 1 species
UGGCGAACGGGUGAGUAACGCGUGAGGAACCUGCCUCAAAGAGGGGGACAACAGUUGGAAACGACUGCUAAUACCGCAUAAGCCCACGGGUCGGCAUCGACCUGAGGGAAAAGGAGCAAUCCGCUUUGAGAUGGCCUCGCGUCCGAUUAGCUAGUUGGUGAGGUAACGGCCCACCAAGGCGACGAUCGGUAGCCGGACUGAGAGGUUGAACGGCCACAUUGGGACCGAGACACGGCCCAG